rnacentral:lncRNA from 13 species
CAAAGUUGCUCUCAGAAAGGAAGCUGUAAAACAGCAUAGAGUUUCUCCAUCCUAAGAUUUCCCUGUUUAAAAUUUAUCCAUGGCACAGAGUGAAGAGAAGGUAUACUGCCAGUGAGGGUACAUUUCCUGGAAAUGACACUGUCGAAACCAUAGGUUAGUCUUGGAAGCAGAUAAACAGCAUUGAAUCAAUUUGGGGACACUGCCCGAAUUUUUCCUGUUGUAUCCUACCUCAGGAGUUACAUGUUCCAUUGUCUGGAAAGGUUUCCAGCCUCAUUGAAGUGAUUUGUGGUAUGACUCUAAUUCUGACAGGAUGUGGCAUGCAGCGUGACAGCAGACUUUCCAUGUUUCGAGGACCAUAGCAUUCACAUCCGAGAAUCUACCACGUCAGUGAAUAUUACUUAACGUCGGUACUUUUAUUUUUCACAAUUACCGAAUACUGACAAUGCAUUAGUACCUCUGAAAAUCCCCAAAACUCGUAAUGAUUGUAAAGUGUUUCAAAAAUAAAAUAUAAGUGCUGACAUAGGUUCCA